GCCAGCGAUGUGUGCAUUCUGACGUGACGGUGUACGUUCGCGGUGGUUGCGUACUUUAAAUUGUUGACCGUACUCGGUACUCGGCGAUGCACUGCGCAUUCUAGGAAAUCGAUUUUCUUCUAUUUUUUG
ensembl:ncRNA F29C4.9 ncRNA